rnacentral:lncRNA from 1 species
UGGACGAUCCCCCCCAGGAUGGGGUUGAUUGACCUUUUGGCCAUCUCCAAUGGACCUAUCUGCCAUUGCCAGGACCCUCCGGGGCUUUCUACCUUUGCCAUUGCUGGCGCUACACAUCCACACCGGUCACCAAUGUCUGGGGGCUGCCUCCUCCUCACCCGCUCUAAUCAGGGGGCCCAACAAUCCAAACCCCGCCCCUCAAUGCCUCCGGGCUGCCUUCUGGCACAACUCAAACCCCUCGGAUUGUUGGGACCAGACUUUAAGCCAAAAAGACUUGUUUUCUAUUACAAUCAGGUUUGACCUCAGUAUAAAUUAGAUAAUGGGUUUCCAUGGCCCAAAAAUGGCACUUUCAAGUUUAACUUACUGUGUGAUUUACACAACUUCUGUCAACACAAUGGCAAAUGGUCAGAAAUCCCCUACAUACAAGCCUUUCCUAACUAUGCUUUUAACCCUCCCUCUGUCAAACCUGUUCUCCUUCUCAAAUCGUCCUAGCCUGAGCCAAUCACUCACCGCUCAUACCUCCCCCACUUUAUAACUCUGUUGAUAGGAAAAAGUUUUAAAGUUUAAUAGAUUAGCUAUUAAAGUAGUUGUGGAAGCAAACUAGGUAGUGUAUCCCUUUAAAAACUUGCCUUAGCCCAUUGCUUCUGCUGUUUAAAGUAAAGGUUAUAUAGCUUCUUUGAUUUGUAGCUCCACUAUAGAUAACAUCCUAACUAAAGAACAAAGUGGGAAUCCUUGAACAAACUUGUGAGACAUGUGCCUUAACUGUCAUGUGUUUAGGGCUG